CCUGUUUAACAAAAACAUGUCUUUGUGAGUUAUUUUUAAAGUCUGACCUGCCCACUGAAGUUUAUUWAAAUGGCCGCAGUAUUCUAACUGUGCAAAGGUAGCAUAAUCAUUAGUCUUUUAAUGAAGGCUGGUAUGAACGGUUGGACGAGGUAUAAGCUGUUUCAUAUAAAUUUAUAAUAGAAUUUUAUAUUUUAGUCAAAAAGCUAAAAUAUAGUUAAAAGACGAGAAGACCCUAUAAAUCUUUAUAUUUUAUGUUAUUUAGAUUUUUUAGAUUAAUUUUAUUUUUAUAAUUUAAAAUAUUUUGUGGGGUGAUGUUAAAAUUUAAUAAACUUUUAAUUAUUUAAAAUCAUUAAUUUAUGAAUUAUUGAUCCAUUAGUAGUGAUUAUAAGAUUAAGUUACUUUAGGGAUAACAGCGUAAUUUUUUUGGAGAGUUCAUAUCGAUAAAAAAGUUUGCGACCUCGAUGUUGGAUUAAGAUAUAUUUUUAGGUGUAGCCGCUUAAAU
rnacentral:rRNA from 1 species